UAGGGAAUUUUCGUCAAUGGGGGAACCGUGCAACGAGCAAUGCCGCGUGUGUGAAGAAGGUCUUCGGAUCGUAAAGCACUGUUGUAAGUGAAGAAUGCCAUAUAGAGGAAAUGCUAUGUGGGUGACGGUAGCUUACCAGAAAGCCACGGCUAACUACGUGCCAGCAGCCGCGGUAAUACGUAGGUGGCAAGCGUUAUCCGGAAUCAUUGGGCGUAAAGGGUGCGUAGGUGGCACGAUAAGUCUGAAGUAAAAGGCAACAGCUCAACUGUUGUAUGCUUUGGAAACUGUCGAGCUAGAGUGCAGAAGAGGGCGAUGGAAUUCCAUGUGUAGCGGUAAAAUGCGUAGAUAUAUGGAGGAACACCAGUGGCGAAGGCGGUCGCCUGGUCUGUAACUGACACUGAUGCACGAAAGCGUGGGGAGCAAAUAGGAUUAGAUACC
rnacentral:rRNA from 1 species